GAGUAUCUCAAUCAGUUUAUUCCAAAAUGUCCGGAUUAUGUCCGUUAGAUAUAAACAGUGUGAUUGCAAUCUUUCAGAAAUAGGGUUUGGUGGGUGGAGAAAUCUUUAAUUUACUGUUCUGUUUAUAUUUUACCACUCAGACGGAGCAAGCUGACACAUCUCAAAUGCAACAAAACAAUAAUUUAUUGAUUCUACCAAUGUGACUUUCUUAUCCGAGGAAGAGUUAAAUUCAUAUAUACUUUCUUUUUUGUAAAAUUAAAAAUAUUUUUGUGGGAAAAUAUUUCGAUAAGCCACGUAAUCAUAUCAUACUUGAUUUUAGAAUAAACAACCAGCAAUUAUUGGUAGUUUUCCUGUGUUGUUAUAAUAUGAAGAAAAAAACUAAUCAAUAAACAGUAUAUAC
rnacentral:misc_RNA from 1 species